CAUAAUAGCAUGAUUUUUUAAUAUAAUUCAUUUUAUACAGUGUCUGAAAAAAGCAGUACUACUCGUCGGCCAGUAACUCCUAUCACAUCUGAUGAUGAUGACGCUGUGGAAGCAGGUCCAUCAAAAGAAGUAUGGAGCAGCAGAAGUGGCACUUCUGUAAGACAUCACCACAAAAAACCUGUGGCCGAAAAGAAAGCAAGGUCGUAUGUCCCGGCACAAACACAGCAGGCUACCCCGCCACGAAGAUUAUCGUCCGUAUGUUCUGUACCCCCACUCCAAAUUUUGGACACACCUCCAAGACGUCAUCCACACUCCCCUCAUCUUGAUUCUUUGAGUCCUGGGAACAGCAUCCCUCCGCAACAACACCAACACAGUGACAUGGAGGAGACAAACAUCUUAGAACUGUAGCCAUUAAUGCAAGGAAUGAGCCCCCCAGCACCUGUGAGUACACCACCACAGCAAAGCACACCACCACCACAACACAGCCCAACAACACCAGGAACACAAGGCCCUGAUCAGGUGUUUUGGACUAUUUGGGCUAGACAGCAGGCCACUAAUGAAGAUUGCCUGCAUAAGCAGACACAAAUGUUUGCAAGCCUACCAUCUCACCUCAGAAGAAUCUCAAGAAAUCUGAGUAGACAAAAUGAGCAAACAACCAGAAUAGGCAAUACCAUGGAACUCAUGCGUACAGACAUUACACAGGUCAUGGGCAACUUACAGCGCAUAAUGGAAGAACAGCACAGACUAAUGGAAGAACAGCACAGACUAAUGGAAGAACAGCACAGACAACAGCAAAGUUAUAUGAGCAUUUUUCAAAACAAUCAAAAGAUUAAUGAAAGUUUAUUCCAAAUAGUAGACAAUCAAAAUGCUGCUACACGUGAACUCAAUGCCACCCUCACUAACCUGAAUGAAACACUCAGAUGCAUGCACCAACAGCAAACAAGCAGCAGUUCUGGUACGACUACUCCAAAUAUCACGCCAGUCUCAUCACCACCAAGACGGUCCACCAGAGCACGCCAACAUGACAGUGCUAAAGGCAAAGGGCAGGACAAGCAGUCACCCAAAAAAAUGUGGAAAAAAAACAACAAGUUAGACAUUUGUGAUAAGUAACUCAAAAUAGUUAGCAAGUGUUUUUGUUGCUUAAAAAAAUAUAACACUUAGCUCCUUGACCCUUUUUUCAACAUCAUUAAUUAUAAGUGGGCCAAAUAAAAAAAUUUUUAGUACGCACAUUUAUUCAUUAACAUUUUUUUUUUGGUAUUGGAGGAGGGAAAACUUGAUGGAGCCACACAUACAUGUUAGCAGGAAGUAAACUGACCACUUGAUUUUUUUCUAGUCAUUACUUUUUCUAGAUUCCAAUCAUUUUCUUUGCCUGCAGAUACAAUAAUUGCCAGCCAGGCAGAAUGUCUUUAGCAGGAAGAAAACUGACCACUUGAUUUUUUUCUAAUCAUUGCUCUUUCUAGAUUCCAAUCAUUUUCUUUGCCUGCAGAUACAAUAAUUGCCAGCCAGGCAGAACGUCUUUAGCAGGAAGAAAACUGACCACUUGAUUUUUUUCUAAUCAUUACUCUUUCUAGAUUCCAAUCAUUUUCUUUGCCUGCAGAUACAAUAAUUGCCAGCCAGGCAGAAUGUCUUUAGCAGGAAGAAAACUGACCACUUGAUUUUUUUCUAAUCAUUACUCUUUCUAUAUUCAAAUCAUUUUCUUUGCCUGCAGACAAUCCAAAUUACAAUGUUAGUGAUACAUAUCUUAGCUAUCUUAUCUAUACAACAUUACAAGAAGAACACAAUUGAGUUGCGUAAAAAGCUUGUAAUAUGUUGCCUUUGUUUUGUUUGAAAAACAUUGUCCAAAUGAAUGUCAGUAUUGUUGGGACAUGUUUGUGUGUGUUUUAAAUUAUUAAGCAUGUUUUUACACAUGAUGCUGAAACAAACAAAUAUGUACUUUUACAACAAAAAACAAAAACUGUGUUUAAUAAUGUAUAUGUGUGGCAAACUGUGUAUUUACUUACACAUCAUCAAGUUUACAGCAUCAAACAUUAGGAAUUUAAUUUUUCAUGAUUACAGUAAGUUUGUGAGUCUUAAAUAUGAUGGUGCAUCACACAUAGGGACACAUGUAUUCCUCAAGGCUAACAUACUAUAUGUUGAGGAGUGUUUUUUGGGAACACAGGUUCGCAAACUCGGCCCUCAGGAACCCACACAGUGCAUGUUUUGCAGGUCUAUUCACAGAAUCACAAGUGACAUAAUUAGCUCCACCUGUGAACCUUUUAACAUGUCUGUGAGUAAUUCAUACACCUGUGCUUCUACUGGGUUACGAGAAAAACAUGCACUGUGUGUGGUCCUGAGGGCCGAGUUUGUGAACCUGUGCAUUAGGACGUUACACACAAUGAUAAAGUGAAAUACUAAAUGGAUGAUGUGGGAUUGUAAGAAAUUAGCACUGCAAGUUUUUGAUCACUUAUCCAGACUUAAUG